rnacentral:rRNA from 1 species
UACAGAGGUCUCAAGCGUUGUUCGGAUUCAUUGGGCGUAAAGGGUGCGUAGGUGGCGCGCUAAGUCAGGUGUGAAAUUUCGGAGCUUAACUCCGAAACUGCAUUUGAUACUGGCGUGCUUGAGGACUGGAGAGGAGACUGGAAUUCAUGGUGUAGCAGUGAAAUGCGUAGAGAUCAUGAGGAAGACCAGUGGCGAAGGCGGGUCUCUGGGCCGAUACUGACGCUGAGGCGCGAAAGCGUGGGGAGCAAACAGG